GCGAAAUGGCGGCGGCCUACACAUGCAAGUCGAGCGGAUGUAGUGAGAGCUUGCUCCAUGAUUCAGCGGCGGACGGGUGAGUAAUGCCUAGGAAUCUGCCUGGUAGUGGGGGACAACGUUUCGAAAGGAACGCUAAUACCGCAUACGUCCUACGGGAGAAAGUGGGGGAUCUUCGGACCUCACGCUAUCAGAUGAGCCUAGGUCGGAUUAGCUAGUUGGUGAGGUAAAGGCUCACCAAGGCGACGAUCCGUAACUGGUCUGAGAGGAUGAUCAGUCACACUGGAACUGAGACACGGUCCAGACUCCUACGGGAGGCAGCAGUGGGGAAUAUUGGACAAUGGGCGAAAGCCUGAUCCAGCCAUGCCGCGUGUGUGAAGAAGGUCUUCGGAUUGUAAAGCACUUUAAGUUGGGAGGAAGGGCAGUAAGUUAAUACCUUGCUGUUUUGACGUUACAAACAAAAUAAGCACCGGCUAGCGUGGUGCGAGCACCCGCCCCGCCACGAAGGGUGCAAGCGUUUAU
rnacentral:rRNA from 2 species